rnacentral:rRNA from 1 species
GUGUCAGCAGCCGCGGUAAAACGUAGGUGGCGAGCGUUAUCCGGAUUCACUGGGCGUAAAGCGCGUGCAGGUGGCUUCGUAAGUUGGACGUUAAAUUUCCCGGCCUAACCGGGAGGGGUCGUUCAAUACUGCGGGGCUUGAGGGCAGAAGAGGGGGGUGGAAUUGCCGGUGUAGUGGUGAAAUGCGUAGAUAUCGGCAGGAACACCUGUGGCGAAAGCGGCCCCCUGGUCUGCUCCUGACACUCAGACGCGAAAGCCAGGGUAGCGAACGGGAUUAGAAACCCGGGUAGUCC